rnacentral:rRNA from 1 species
CACGUAGUUAGCCGGAGCUUCCUCCCCAGGUACCGUCAUUUUCGUCCCUGGGGACAGUGGUUUACAAUCCAGAAGACCGUCUUCCCACACGCGGCGUCGCUGCAUCAGGGUUUCCCCCAUUGUGCAAUAUCCCCCACUGCUGCCUCCCGUAGGAGUCUGGGCCGUGUCUCAGUCCCAAUGUGGCCGUUCAACCUCUCAGUCCGGCUACCGAUCGUCGGCUUGGUGGGCCGUUACCUCACCAACUACCUAAUCGGACGCGAGCCCAUCUUCGAGCGAUAAAUCUUUGGUACAGACAGGAUGUCCCAUCCGUACAUUAUGCGGUAUUAGCGACCGUUUCCAGCCGUUAUUCCCCUCUCGAAGGCAGGUUGCUCACGUGUUACUCACCCGUCCGCCACUAAACUAUCCCAAAAUCCAUCCGAAAACUUCUUCCGAGAUAGUCCCGUUCGACUUGCAUGUGUUAGGCGCGCCGCCAGCGUUCGUCCUGAGCCAGGAUCAAACUCU